AACGAACGCUGGCGGCGUGGAUAAGACAUGCAAGUCGAACGGGAUUUUUUCCUGUAGCAAUACAGGAAAAAGUCUAGUGGCGAACGGGUGCGUAACACGUGAGCAACCUGCCGUGAAGUGGGGGAUAGCUCGCCGAAAGGCGAAUUAAUACCGCAUGUGGCCAAGGAAGACAUCUUCCUGACGCCAAAGCCGGGGCAACCUGGCGCUUCUCGAGGGGCUCGCGGCCUAUCAGCUUGUUGGUGAGGUAACGGCUCACCAAGGCUAUGACGGGUAGCUGGUCUGAGAGGACGACCAGCCACACUGGAACUGAGACACGGUCCAGACACCUACGGGUGGCAGCAGUCGAGAAUUUUUCACAAUGGGGGAAACCCUGAGGGAGCGACGCCGCGUGGAGGAUGAAGGUUUUCGGAUUGUAAACUCCUGUCAUUAGAGAACAAGGCGCACGGUUUAACUGGCCGUGCGUUGAUAGUAUCUGAAGAGGAAGAGACGGCUAACUCUGUGCCAGCAGCCGCCGUAA
rnacentral:rRNA from 1 species